rnacentral:misc_RNA from 1 species
CGCACGCGCUUCAGGUUUUCGUCUGCGAUUGCCACCUGCCCCUGAACUGAGUCUCUUGCUCCCUCCCUUUCCUGGUAACCAGUACACCACCCCCACUUCACAUACUUUUAUCGACCAUGCGGAUCGUGAUCUCCGAGACGGCGGACAAGGUGGCGGACUACACGUCUAAUUACGUGAUCAAGUCCAUCAACGAUUUCAAGCCGACGGCAGACCGGCCGUUUGUGCUUGGGCUUCCGACGGGCGAAACGCCGAUGCGCACGUACCAGAAACUGAUCGUUGCGUACCGCGAGGGCCGCGUUUCGUUCAAGAACGUGAUCACGUUCAACAUGGAUGAGUACGUGGGGCUGCCAGCGGAUCACCCGGAGAGCUACCACUACUUCAUGAAGCACAACUUCUUUGAUUACGUAGACAUCCCCGAGCAGAACCGGCACAUCCUGAACGGGAACGCGCCGGAUCUGAUCGAGGAGUGCCGCCAGUACGAGGAGAAGAUCCGGGCUGUUGGCGGCAUCCACCUGUUCCUCGCCGGGAUCGGGACGGACGGACACCUUGCGUUCAACGAGCCUGGGAGCAGCCUCUACAGCCGCACGCGCGUCAAGAGCCUGAAUGCGGAGACGAUGGAGAGCAACGCGCGGUUCUUUGGCAACGACGUCUCGCGCGUGCCGACGAUGGCGCUAACGGUUGGGCUGCGCACGAUCAUGGAGGCCAAGGUUGUGCUGAUGAUUGCCACUGGUGCCAGCAAGGCUCUCGCGGUUGCGCGGUGCGUGGAGGGCGGGAUCACACACAUGUGCACUGCAACGAUGCUACAGAUGCACCCCGCCGCGGUGCUGUGCCUUGACGAGGACGCGACCCUGGAGCUGAAGGUGCGGACGACGCGCUACUUCAAGUUGCUGCUGAACACGGAGAAAGCGCUGGAGGAGCGCCAGAGCAACAUGAAUCGUACCUAUUCGAAGCUGUAGGCGUCUUUGUUGCGCCCACGUGCAAGCACGCCCAUCGCCUCCGCUGCCAGCUCGCGUGCCCGAAAGGGGCAGCAGCGCGUCUCCACUGUGGCAAACCGCGUGCAGACAACUUCGCCGCCCUCCGCCUCCGUCCCCUCCCCGCUGUCUUGUUACCCUUUAAUGUUUCACUUUUGCUCUCUUUCUUAUUUUUUUUUCGUUGGUUCGCGUCUCCUUGGUUGAUGGCCCCUGCGUGAGCGUGUGUGGUGUGCAUGCUUAUUGAG